rnacentral:lncRNA from 1 species
CAAUGCCUGAUGUCUCAAAUUCAUGAGAUUACAACCAGUGUCUUCACAGAGGAAUCUUUCAAUGAAAAGAGAGACAGAGAGAGAGAACAUGAGACAGAGGAAAGAGAGAAGCAAACUCCCCACUGAACAGGGAGCUCAACUUGGGGCUCAAUCCCAGGACCUGAGCCUAAGGCAUAAGCUUAACCAUCUGAGCCAGUGAAAUACAGUGUUCCAUGAAGAAAGCAAUUGAUUCAUCUUAUAACUAGCACAACUAGACUGUUUUUCCUCAAGAUAAAUAUCAAGGGCUUUAUGUGCACUUCCCUAUCAUGCUGUAUACUAAACGUAUGUAUGCAAAGGGGGAGAUUUACUGAAACUAAAGGUUUUCUCAAUUGGGAAGGAUUUUUUUUUUCAAAAGUGAAACUGCCUUUGUUUACUUCUUUUCUAUACACAUGUGGUUGUAAAGGGUACCAUGCCUGCUAGUAAAAUUUGGUGCCAAUACUUUAAUUCAUACUAAGGAGCAAGCAGUUUUAGCCACAUCAUUGUGUAUGUUAAUCCAGGGCAAAAGGUAAAUAAUAGUCUAUUAUUAUUAUGAAAAUGGGUUUUUCACUUAAAGACCUUCUGAUAGGGUGUCAGGGACCCUGCAGGACUAUGAACCCCUCCCUAGAUAGCCACUGCUUUAGAGGCAUGUGCAAAGAGAAUUUUGAAAUACAGAAGACAAUAAGCUCAAGAAGAGAAG